rnacentral:rRNA from 1 species
GAUGAACGCUGGCGGCGUGCCUAAUACAUGCAAGUCGAGCGAACGGACGAGAAGCUUGCUUCUCUGAUGUUAGCGGCGGACGGGUGAGUAACACGUGGAUAACCUACCUAUAAGACUGGGAUAACUUCGGGAAACCGUAGCUAAUACCGGAUAAUAUUUUGAACCGCAUGGUUCAAAAGUGAAAGGCGGUCUUGCUGUCACUUAUAGAUGGAUCCGCGCUGCAUUAGCUAGUUGGUAAGGUAACGGCUUACCAAGGCAACGAUGCAUAGCCGACCUGAGAGGGUGAUCGGCCACACUGGAACUGAGACACGGUCCAGACGCCUACGGGAGGAAGCAGUAGGGAAUCUUCGGCAAUGGGCGAAAGCCUGACGGAGCAACGCCGCGUGAGUGAUGAAGGUCUUCGGAUCGUAAAACUCUGUUAUUAGGGAAGAACAUAUGUGUAAGUAACUGUGCACAUCUUGACGGUACCUAAUCAGAAAGCCACGGCUAACUACGUG